rnacentral:rRNA from 1 species
GAUGCAAGCGUUAUCCGGAAUGAUUGGGCGUAAAGGGUCCGCAGGUGGCAGUGUAAGUCUGCUGUCAAAGAAUGAGGCUUAACCUCAUCAAGGCAGUGGAAACUACACAGCUAGAGUACGGUCGGGGUAGAAGGAAUUCCUGGUGUAGCGGUGAAAUGCGUAGAGAUCAGGAAGAACACCGGUGGCGAAAGCGUUCUGCUAGGCCGCAACUGACACUGAGGGACGAAAGCUAGGGGAGCGAAUGGG